UAUGAGCUACACAACUGGCGGAAACAGCAACUGCUGUCGUGGGAGUACCCAUAGGAAGUGUAGAAAUAAGAAAAUGCCGACCGCCUGGGCGAACACA
rnacentral:ncRNA from 2 species